rnacentral:rRNA from 1 species
CCUACGGGAGACAGCAGUGAGGAAUAUUGGUCAAUGGCCGUAAGGCUGAACCAGCCAAGUCGCGUGAAGGAAGACGGAUCUAUGGGUUGUAAACUUCUUUUAUAGGGGAAUAAAGGUAUCCACGUGUGGCUAUUUGCAUGUACCCUAUGAAUAAGCAUCGGCUAACUCCGUGCCAGCAGCCGCGGUAAUACGGAGGAUGCGAGCGUUAUCCGGAUUUAUUGGGUUUAAAGGGUGCGUAGGUUGUUUUUUAAGUCAGCGGUGAAAGUUUGUGGCUCAACCAUAAAAUUGCCGUUGAAACUGGAAGACUUGAGUGUGUUUGAGGUAGGCGGAAUGCGUGGUGUAGCGGUGAAAUGCAUAGAUAUCACGCAGAACUCCGAUUGCGAAGGCAGCUUACUAAGCCAUAACUGACACUGAAGCACGAAAGCGUGGGGAUCAAACAGGAUUAGAUACCCCUGUAGUC